GCUACAGGCGGGGCGGAGGCGCGGGGAAUCGGAAGGGGGCGGGGGUUGUUCGGAUUUACGGGUCGUAAAGGGGGCGCAGGCGGGUCAGUUUGUCAGGCGUGAAAGCCCCGGGCUUAACCUGGGAACCGCGUUUGAUACGGAUGGGCUAGAGUUCGGGAGAGGAGAGUGGAAUUCCCAGUGUAGAGGUGAAAUUCGUAGAUAUUGGGAAGAACACCGGUGGCGAAGGCGGCUCUCUGGACCGAGACUGACGCUGAGGCGCGAAAGCGUGGGGAGCAAACAGGAUUAGAUACCCUAGUAGUC
rnacentral:rRNA from 1 species